AGGAACCGACUGUGAGUGUUCUGGAAGCACUAUGACCUGUGCAGCUGCUUGCUUCGAUUCAGUGAGCUGGACUACUGAGAAGUUCCAGCCCGUUCCACUAGCACCAUUGGAUGCAUCAUGCUUGAGGACAUUUUUACUGAGUGGAGCAAUGUCAGCCAGGGAUCGCAAGAUACCAAGGAUGUUCCUAAACGGCGACGACACAAUAUGGAAGACUAGGGCGAUCCAAGCUCACAGAAGAUUGAAGAGGCUGGAGAAGGAGAAAAUGGAAGCGGUUAGACCAAGAGCAGGAGAGGAGAGUGAGCCGUCGCAAUUGGAAGGGCUGGUGGAGCAGGUGAUGCCAGCUAAUACUGACGGAAUCGGCAAGGUACGUGCUGGGGCUGAUAGCGGGGAGGCGGAGCUGGUGAGAGACGAGGUAAGCCAUCAUAGCAAUCUCAGCAGUGACCCCACACUUUUUUCAGACUCUGAUGCUAGCUUAGACAUACCAGCAGUGUUCAGGAGAGAGGCGAGUCUGUCACCCACACCCAUCCCCCAGGCCCAGGUCCCUAAACGCAGAGGGCAGCGCGCUAAUAUUAGAAAGGGCGCAGGCGGUAGCAAGGGGCCAAUCCCACGGGGGCAGAGAACAAAGCAAGUAGGGGUUGGGCGAGGCCGUGCGGGAAAUCCUGCGAGAGUUGGGCGGCCAUCUUGGAUUCCCAGGGACAAUAGUGGGGCGGGGCCCAGCGCGCGACUACAACAGGCAUCUGUAAGCCCGUUAGCACGGGCGGGAGGGCCCCGCCAUAUUGGAGCGCACAAGGAGGGGAGGAGGGUAGGAGCCUGAAGCAGCAGGGGCGCAGUAAUGCGCGCGGGCAUCAAGUUCAGCAAGCGAUAGGCAGGGGGGAAAGCGGAACCGCACAAGGAAGGGAGGAGGAUAGGAGCCAUAAGCAGCAAGGGCGCAGUAAUGCACGCAGGCAACAAGGGCAGCAAGUGGUAGGCAGGGGGGAAAGCGGAACAUAUGAAGGGGGAAAAGGAGCAAGGUACAACAAGGGCUCUGAAGUAGAGGAUGGGAAUGAGUGGCCCGGAAUAAGGAGAGUAGGUAUCGGAGCCCCGGUGGGCCAGGCAUAAGGGGUAACAGGAUAAGAGAGGGUGGGAGGGCCAGGCCAGAACGAAAGGAGUCAGAGGAAAGGAGGGGAGGUGACAGUGAUGGAGAUAUGGGAUAUAGGGAUAGGUCAGCGAGUGAAGCAGAAGGGGAGCAGAGGUGGGUGGAUGUUUAUAGCAGGGGACAAUACAACCAGAGGCCGCAAAAAAGAUAUAGAGUAGAGGAGACAGCUAGGGGCAGGCCUAGGACAAUAAGGGACGUGGAAGGCAAUAUGUACAUUAUGGUAGAUGAGGAUCAGAGCAUAGAGGAGAGGGGAUGGGUGGAGAGAGGGGGUGUGAAGGAGAGGCAGAGAGAAUGGGGAAGGGGGGCGGGAGAAGGAUCAAAAGGAGACGGGACAUAUACAUAUAAUAAUAAUAAUUUGAAUGCAUUUCAGUGGGACUUGGAGCGGAGCACAGGAAGGUGUGCUACGGGUGAAAGCGGAAGGGAUGGAGACUCCACGAGAGCAAACAAUAGAGGAGAGGGGAACGGAAAAGAAGGAGGGGACAAAGAGUGUGAGCAGAAUGCUCAUCCGAAGCAAGGUAAGAAAAUUAUGUAUUGCAUAGAUGAGGGGUCGGACAGUUCAUCUGAAUGGGACUCAGAUGAUGAUAAGGUGCAAGGUGAAGGUAACAGGAGAAUUUUAAAAUUUGUAAAGAAAAUAUACGCAAAACAAGGCAAAAAGGUGGGGAGUGAAGCCCCUGCAGGUGGGGACGAUAGUGAGGGAGAAUUUAACGCAGAUGACGAGGUUACAGGGACAAAACUAAUGCCAUUAACAACUCAUUUAAAAGCAAAAGUCAUAUUGAAAGUGCAGAAAGGAAAGUACGUAGAUGUGUUCGAGAUUACGAGGGAAGCCGUGGCUUUAAAAUCUAGAAGUGAGGAAGGGAAGGGUAAGAAACUGAAACAAUCAUUCCCAGAAUGGGUGAAAGGGAUGGUAAUAUAUGCUGAAUGUUUUUUAUCUGAAAAUCCGGGAAAGGUAAAAGGGAUGUUGAGAUACAUACAUCUGAUAGCAGAAUGCUGCAUGAUUUACGGGGGUUUUGGGUGGAAGGAUUAUGAUAGCGAGUUUAGAAGAGGGAACCUGCAGUUAGGGGAAAAUGGAAGGAAAGAGUUUGGUAUAAAAAUAUUAGACAUGUGGACGCGCUUAAUAAAGCCAGCAGACAGCACAGUGCAGAGGCCACUAGCAUUAGCAUCAGCGAGGCCAGGGAAAACAGAAGGGAAGGAAUGUUGGGCCUACAACGAGAAGAGGUGCGACAGGGGUAAUGGGUGUAAAUUCAAACACAUAUGUAGGUAUUGUGGGGGUUUCCAUGCGGGGGCGGACUGUAGGAAAAGUGGUGGAGGGAAUAACAAGCAGUUUUUUCGUGGUUCAGGGGGAGUGGUAGCGGAGGAACAAUGGGGAAUGGCCAGAACCCCAUUGAGGGUAGAUAGGUUGAUAAGAGAACUAGCAAGUUAUGACAAUAGAGACGAUAGGACACUGCUGGAAAAAGGUUAAAUGGAGGGAUUUGUAGUACCAGUAAGAAACGAGGUGUGUGCGGCGGAAAAAUGUAGAAAUUUUAAAUCUGCAACAGAGUACCCGGCAGUACUGCAGGAAAAGUUGGACAAAGAGAUAAAAUUAGGGAGGAUGGCUGGACCAUUUAAGGAAAUACCGAUACAACGAUUAGCUAUAUCACCUUUAGGAGUAGUACCUAAAAAAGAAAAAGGUAAAUUUCGCAUGAUACAACACUUGUCAUAUCCGAGAGGGAGGUCAGUAAAUGAUGCCAUUGACAGGGCAGACGUGUCAGUACAGUAUCAGUCAUUUAAUUCAGCAGUAAAGAUGGUGAAAGAAGCAGGGAGGGGCGCGUUAAUGGCGAAAAUAGACAUAGAAUCCGCCUUUAGGCUGUUACCAUUAAAUCUGCGCAGUUUCAAGCUAAUGGGGUGUAGAUUUAACAAGAAUUUCUACGUGGAUAAAUGUUUGCCGAUGGGCUGCUCGGUAUCAUGCUCCAUAUUCGAGAAAUUUAGUACAUUUCUGCACUGGUUGUUGGUGGUGAGGACAGGUUCAGAUAGAAUCGUGCAUUAUUUGGACGAUUUUAUGGUAGUGGGCACAGUAGGGGAUGGUGCAUGCGCAAGGCUGAAGAACUCACUAGUUAAUAUGCUAGGGGAGCAAGGAGUCCCAGUAGCAGCCUAAAAAUCGGAAGGGCCCAGUCAGCGGUUGUCGUUUUUAGGCAUAACGAUAGAUACAGUGAGAGAGCAAUGCAAGCUUCCGGAAGAAAAGAUAGAGAAGGCACGACAAUUGAUAAGGGAAAUGCUGGGGAGGAAAAAAGUGGCGCUAAGGGAGAUGCAGAAGUUGCUGGGUGUGCUUAAUUUCGCAUGCAGGGUCAUACCAGUAGGGAGAAUCUUCAAGAGAAGAUUGGAUUUGGGAACAGCAGGAGUGAAAAAAUCUGAGCACAUGAUUAGAUUGACAGGAGAAAUGAGGGAGGAUAUGAAAGUUUGGGAUACAUUUUUAACAGACUUUAAUGGGAUCAGAAUAUGGCAGCAGCAAACGAAUUAGAACUUUACACAGACGCGGCAGGGAGUGCCGGUUUUGGUGCAUACCUACAAGGUAGAUGGUGUGUGGGCAAGUGGCCAGUAGACUGGGAAAGGAGCGGUUGGGUGAAGAACAUAGCAUUACUAGAAUUAUUUCCCAUCGUGGUAGCAGUAGAGCUGUGGGGCAAUUUACUAGCAAACAAAAGUAUUACAUUUUGGUAGGACAAUCAAGGAAUAGUGGACGCAGUUAAUAGCCUUUCGGCAUAAUCAAUGCCAGUAAUAAAGUAUUUGCGAUACCUGGUGCUGAAAUGCCUGCAGCCAAACAUCUGUUUUAAAGGAAAACACAUCCCAGGAUAUAAAAAUGUCAUAGCUGACGCCCUGUCUAGAUUUAAUUGGGAGGUAUUUAGGGGGGCAUAGAAGGUAUAAAGAAAAUGGUGGAAAAAUCUUUGGCACCAAGAACUUGGAGGGCAUACGACACCUAUUGGAAGCAGUGGUUAUGGUUUAAGGGUGACACGAUAGAGGGAGAACGAAGUAGGUUCUUGGAAUGGCUCUGGUCCUUAAAGACGAAGGGCAUGAAAAAGGGUCAGGUAGGCAUCGCAAUAGCAGGGGUAUCCUUCUUUGCAAAGCUAAGAGACAUGGAGGACAUGACAAAAUCAUUCAUGGUCAGAAAGGUGUUAAAAGUAUGGCAGGUGGGCGAGGUCAAUAAAUUAGAUGACAGGGAACCAAUCACAGAGGAUAGGUUAGAAAGAAUAUUGACGGUAUUGGGUGAAGUGUGCAAGGACAAGGAGGAAGUUAUUUUGUUUAAGGCGGCAUUCAUCAUGGCAUUCUGGGGGGCAUUUAGGAUAGGGGAAUUAGUAGCAACAAGUAAAGCAGACAAGCAGACGAGGAAAAUGGAUUAGGGAAAACCGAUGUUAAAGUAUACAAGGAUAACAUAAUGGUGCUGUUAAGGAAAUCAAAAACAGACAGAGAGGGAAAAGGGGUAUGGGUGUCGAUGAGGGAGACUGGGGGCAGCACAUGCCCAGUGGCAGGGAUAAAAGAAAUGUUAAGGGUAAGGCACAAGGAGGGUAUGCUAUUCCUAAGACACAUGGACGGGUCCAAUUUAAUGGGGUAUCAGUUUAAAAGGGUAUUGGAAAUGGUCGCAAAGAGGCUGGGGUGGGACCACCUACGGUUCGCACCACAUUCUUUCCGAAUAGGGUCCGCAACUAGCGUGGCUGAGAAAGGGUGUUAUGAGGAGAGGAUAAAAAAUUUGGGGAGAUGGAAAUUGCGAGCUUUUAGAUCAUACAUCAGAGUAAAAGGGGAAUGAACGGAGAAGUAGUGCGACGUCAUAGUGACUGUGUUUGAUUGAUUUAAGGUUUAAUGAAUAUUUGUUUUUUCAUUACAGGCAGAGCAUUAUGGGUAUGGGUGGUUGGACACUUGUACGUGCAUUGGGCCCGUGCAAGGGCAAUGGCAACAGGGUUAGGAGCUCACUUAGGUUUCACGCACAAGGUAGCAAGCAUAAGAUGGCUAGGGAAAAGGGGUAUGCACUGGGGAGAUUUAGUCGUGACCAUACAACAGGCAAGAAGAAGGUGGGGCCCCCCAGACGCGCUGAUAAUACACUUGGGAGGCAACGACAUAGGCGCAUUUCCAUUAAAGGAAUUGGAGGACGGCAUAAAGGAAGUAAUUAGUUGGUUAAAGGUUGCUUGGCCACAGGUGCGAGUUAUAUGGUCUAAUAUAAUAUCUAGGAUAUACUGGCGCAACACGGAUACGCAGAGGGCAGGAUAUAGGUCGCGCAGGCGAGUUAACCAGGUGACGGCGAAGAUAGUAAGGGAGACAGGGGGCAGGGUGCUGGAUCAUCCGUUUAUCACAGCUAAAAGAGAGGAGCUGUUUCGGGCCGAUGAAGUACACCUGAAUGAGGUUGGGAACGAUCAGUUUCUGGAGGACAUAAGGAUGAUGGUAGCGGAACUGGCUAAGGAUCGAUAAGAGAGAAUGAAUCGCAAUCGGAGAGGUCACAAAAGAAGGAAGAGAGCAAGCAGACGCAGAUAUGGGCAGGAUGCUGACCAAUUGGUCGGAUCUUUAUAAGACUGCCUGUGUUCCCAUAAGGAAAAGAGCCGGCUGCAGCUGAGGUUAAGCGGGUGACGCAAAUCGGUCUAUGCUAACAAGAGGCGUUAAGAAUUCAGCAGCUACUAGGAGCGAAUAAAUAAUAAGGUGGAGAGUGGUGAAAACGGGUCUGGCACAUGGGCGAGGCAUCGAGGACGCAGGGGCCAUGAUCCGGUGGUCUAGCUGAUGGGCAGACUGUGCAGCGGGUUCUCUUGCGCAAUUCCUCGUGCCUUGCCAUGGGGGGAGGUGUUUUGUGGUCAUCCCCCCCCCCCCCCCGGAAAUGUAGACCCAUGUUCAAUUGAAAUGCUUGGGCAUUAUGUUGAUUUGUGGUGUUGAAAUUGCAGGAAUUGAUUUAUGGCUCUCUAGACUGAUUUUGGCUACAAUGCAAAAUCAAUUUGAAUAAAAGUGACCUUUCCAUUUUUUAUUGGCAAA